rnacentral:misc_RNA from 1 species
GAAAUGCGAUACGUAAUGUGAAUUGCAGAAUUCAGUGAAUCAUCGAAUCUUUGAACGCAAAUUGCACUUCGGGGUAUCCCCUGGAGUAUGCUUCUUUGAGUAUCGGUUCUUAUCUAUCUCUAAACACUUCGUGUGUUUAACAGGUGAGAAUGGGCGUUUCGCUUUUAUCAGCGCAUCGCCUCAAGUGUACGGUUACAGCUCUUUGUGCUGCUGUAUGCGUGGAAAGAUAGGUGGCCUUGUGCUGCUCUAUUGCUAUUUUCGGAUAGCUAUCUUUUUCUCGCUGCAGCGGUCGCCGGGGAAACCUGGCGAGAGUUUGUCUUCCGACGCGUAGUCUGUGAGCUUUUAAGUGAACAGCUGCGAGUCAACAUAACAACCAAUCUGAUCUCAAAUGAAGUAAGAG